rnacentral:lncRNA from 1 species
GAUGCCGCUUCUUUGGGGAUUGGCAUUGCAGUCACAGCAACUUCAGAGGAGGGUGCUCCAAGCUCUGUGUGACGCCUGGAGUCAGGGCAGAAACAGCCAAGACACGAGAGCACAACCUGCCCCGGUGCUGUGAGAUGCUGGCCAGUCCCCGUACACCUCUGCUUCUCUACAGGCAACAGAAUAUUUACUACUGGUUUAUGUCCAUCAUCUUGUUUGGAGCCAGUGAGCAAAGCUGCACCCGUGCAGGGGUUGACAAAGAUUCAGCCAGCCCAGCUGUGUUUUCUCCUGCCCAUGCCACUUCCCCUGGGCCCCCAUUAACCUCUGUCCAGCCCAUUAUCUCCAGAAAUGGGGUGAAGAGGCCAGGAGGAAGCAAAGCGAUGUGGCUGCUGUGGUUUCAGUUCUCACUCCACCUUGCUACUGAGAAACUGGACCUGUGGUUUGGUUUGUGGCUGGGGGGGAAGAGGAAUGGUCCUUGGAUCUAAUCCCUGCUGGGAAUGCUCUUUCAGUCCCACAGAGGCACUAGCAACACCAAUGGGGGCUGGAGGGAGAGAAAACCAGUUCCCCAACAAGCCCCACUCCAGCAGCUCACAGUGCAUUAAUAUUCACCGCAGAGCCAGGGGUGUAAAUUCACCGCUGUCUCCUCGCAGUUUGCCGUUUAUGCCGUUCAUUUCACAUAGAUGUCACUACUGCCUUAUGAGCACUCCUCCGAGCCAGCCGCUUAAAUGGACCCAGUGCAUUAUAGUAAUGGAGUAACUGUAUAAAAACAAUGAAAUCCAAUCUCUUUAAACUGAUUUGAUGUCUGCCUGAACCACAACAUUUCCUGCUAAUGGCUUCCUUCAUUUUGUAACCGUGAUCUCCACCUGAUCAGAUUACAGCUGUUUUUAAUUACAAAGCUAAUAGAGUUUGUAGGCAGUGUCAGGCAGACAGCGCAUGCCUGGGGUGGGCACAGGGUGGAGUGGAGCCAGUGGGGGCUCUGGGUGACUGUUAACACACUCAGCUCAUCAAGCUGACUGUCAAAACACUGGGAGCAGGGGGAAACUAGGAGGGACAGUGAUAUUUUUCAGCAUGGAGCCGAUCUGCUGCUCUCCAGGUCAGUCUCUGGGACAGCAGACAGCCUGGGUUGUGCUCCUGCUCCAUGUUCUUGCCACCAGGCCAGGCAGCUGGUGAUGCCCAGAAGAUUCAUGACACAUGUUGGUGCUCCUGCAAGGCAGGUGGCAGGGUCACAGGGAGGCAUGAGAAGGGCAGAAAGAACUCUUCUUGAUGACGGAGUAUAGAAAGAGAAAAUAAAAAAUAAAAAAGAACCA